CUUUAGUGGAGAUGAGCUGUCACUCGCUAUUAAAAGUUCAAAGUCAAAUUUGCAGUCCACUUCUGGCAAGGAAGACAGAGCUUCGUGAGGCCAUAUACAUGUUACCUCCUAAAAGAAUUGUGAACCAAGAAAAGCAAGAGCCCUAGCUUGAUGAGUUCCACUGACCUGGAUGCAGGAGGAAAGACAAAGUGAAAGAGGAUGAGUGAGGAGAGUGAAAACAGGGCAAACCCUCCUACAAUCUGCUCCUUUCACUUAGGUCACGGGUAGUGCAUUGCCCCGAACACUGGUCUCCAAGGACUCAGGGCUACUCUUUCCGAGGCAUG